AUAUGUAUUCCCCCUCUCUAUGCAAUCACUUCAAAGUCACUCGAAAAAUCUAUGUCUCCCCAGCUCUCUCUUUGAGGCGGUUUCUCGAAGGUUCUAUGUUUUUUUUCAUCAAUGGGGAAGAAAUCAUCGGCUAGUGCAAGAAAGAAUGGAGGAAAAUCAAAAAAUUCAUCUGAAAUGCAUCCUUCUUUAAAGAAAACUCCAUCUACUACUAGCUGAGAAUCUCCCUUCGUCCACCACAAUCUCCGAAAAUCCUCCCUCGACCACCCAAACUCAAAGCACCACUGUGCCACUACCGAGGUUCCUUUUGAGAAAUGGCGAAAGGAGGAGGAAGAUUUGGUUAUUACUGGUCACAAGGAAGGGUCUCCAUCUCCUUAUACUAGAGCAAGGGGAAGUAGAGUCACUAGAUCUGCUAUGAAGAUGGAAACAAAAGAAGUUUUUGAAGAACUGUCUACUGGUUCUGCUACGGAAACUAAAAGAAAUAGGGUACCAACUAGACCUCCUUGCGCUGUAAAAGAUGCUUUAUCUGAAGUGCAUCAAUUGUUGGAAUUUCAAGGCUGCUUUGUGGAUACUGUUAGGGAAUUCCAUGUUAAUUUGAAACAAUUGUCGGAUAUGUAUUUGGGUUGUUCUCUGUUUGGUAGUGAAGUAUCUCUACUUGUAUCUUUUGUGGCCUCUCUACUUGAUAUACCUAGGGAUGGGUUUGAUAUGUAUGAUGUUGGCCUACUAUUGUUGGGGUAACAACUGAGGAGAUUAAGUUUAUGCUUGUUCCCUAUUCCAAGAAUGCUAGUUAUGGAUCUGCUAUUUUGCAUCAUGGAGAUGGUCCUCCACUCCAUUUGCAAUAAAGUGUUAAUUCUUAACAUUCAUGAUCGAGGAAUAGUUCGCAUCAUGGAAUGGUAUUGAUUUACUUAAUUAUGAUGAUAAAGAUCAAGAUAAAUCUCCCUGCUCUCAACAUUGAUCAUAUAGUGAAAUGUUUCUCCUCCUCUCACCAAGCCUUAACAUAUGGUUCAAUCAUCACCCUACUACUUCAAAAGCAAAAGUUGCCUUCCAAUGGGGAAAUAGUUCCCAUUCAGGUCUUUAUAGAGAAGAUCUUAGGGAAAAAAGGGUUGGAUGUUUCCCCAUAUGGGCUGAGGUUCAAGGAGUAAGGAGUAUCAGCUGAGAAGAAAAAGGCCGAGAAAAAGAAGAGAAAGAUAGGGGGAACUAGUUUUGAUAGUGUUGUAAUUACAAGGUUGGACAACCAGGAUACAAUAGUGGAUAAAUGUAUAAGCUGAUUGAGGGUAUAUCCAAAUCCUACAAGUCUAAAAUCACUAAUCUUGAGAACGAAGAAGCUGUCGAGAAUGUUUGAUGGUUCUUUCUCUUUCGAAGGUAAAGACUCAACUUCCUAUAGCGCAGGGUGCUACUGGAUCUAUUGAUCCUCGUCUUCUAGUUGAUUCUUGUCUUCUAGCUGAUACCCAUCUUCCUAGUGAUUGUAUGGAAGAGGAUCAAGAUGAUGAUGAUCAGGAAGAUGAAGAAGGUGUUGGUUCCUCUUUCUCCUCCUCCAACAAAGAAGAAGAAGAUGAUGGUGAUGAUGAUGCCUCAAAAGAAGAGGAUGAAGAAGAUGUCGAGGAGUGAUUGCUUCUUCCAGCCAUUUCCCUAAUACCGUUUUGAUAAUUGUUUCAACAUUAUUGUUCCCUACCCCUGUAUUACAAAAUAAUUUCUGAUCAUGUAACUUGGGUUCUUGUUUAACUAUGUUGGUUUGUACUUGGACAAUUUGUGUUUGGUUUAUGGAUUGUGAGUUGCAUGCCUAA